rnacentral:rRNA from 2 species
CGCAUCACUGGUGUUCGGGUUGUCAUGCCAAUGGCACUGCCCGGUAGCUAAAUGCGGAAGAGAUAAGUGCUGAAAGCAUCUAAGCACGAAACUUGCCCCGAGAUGAGUUCUCCCUGACUCCUUGAGAGUCCUGAAGGAACGUUGAAGACGACGACGUUGAUAGGCCGGGUGUGUAAGCGCAGCGAUGCGUUGAGCUAACCGGUACUAAUGAACCGUGAGGCUUAACCUUACAACGCCGAAGCUGUU